UACAGAGGGUGCGAGCGUUAAUCGGAUUUACUGGGCGUAAAGGGCGCGUAGGCGGUGAGAUGAGUGUGGUGUGAAAGCCCCGGGCUUAACCUGGGAAGCGCAUCGCAAACGAUCUGACUGGAGUAGAUGAGAGGGUGGCGGAAUUUCCGGUGUAGCGGUGAAAUGCGUAGAGAUCGGAAGGAACGUCAAUGGCGAAGGCAGCCACCUGGCAUCAUACUGAGCUGAGGCGCGAAAGCCAGGGGGAGCGAACAGG
rnacentral:rRNA from 1 species